GUAUAAACUGGUAUUUUAUGUGACAUUAUUCCCAUGGUGGAGUCUCUUGUGCUAACAAGGGACUCAAACCAGUUAGUGCUGCCAACACAGCCCGUUUACUGGUUUCUACAGGGGGAGAGAGGCUGAACUCCCCCUUGUAGAACCAUGUUAAACAUGGUAAUGAGCCCAGAAAUGAAAAUUAUUUUAUGUGGGAUCAACAAAAAAUCCCUGCCUGUCAGUUGGGACAGGGGAGUUUGGGGGGGAUGACUAUUCUUAAUUGUUUAAAUAUUGACUGCAGUAUAGGACGAGGGACCUUUCAU